CAGGAAAAGCCUCUAAGCAUCAGGUAACAUCAAAUCGUACCCCAAACCGACACAGGUGGUCAGGUAGAGAAUACCAAGGCGCUUGAGAGAACUCGGGUGAAGGAACUAGGCAAAAUGGUGCCGUAACUUCGGGAGAAGGCACGCUGAUAUGUAGGUGAAGCGACUUGCUCGUGGAGCUGAAAUCAGUCGAAGAUACCAGCUGGCUGCAACUGUUUAUUAAAAACACAGCACUGUGCAAACACGAAAGUGGACGUAUACGGUGUGACGCCUGCCCGGUGCCGGAAGGUUAAUUGAUGGGGUCAGCGCAAGCGAAGCUCUUGAUCGAAGCCCCGGUAAACGGCGGCCGUAACUAUAACGGUCCUAAGGUAGCGAAAUUCCUUGUCGGGUAAGUUCCGACCUGCACGAAUGGCGUAAUGAUGGCCAGGCUGUCUCCACCCGAGACUCAGUGAAAUUGAACUCGCUGUGAAGAUGCAGUGUACCCGCGGCAAGACGGAAAGACCCCGUGAACCUUUACUAUAGCUUGACACUGAACAUUGAGCCUUGAUGUGUAGGAUAGGUGGGAGGCUUUGAAGUGUGGACGCCAGUCUGCAUGGAGCCGACCUUGAAAUACCACCCUUUAAUGUUUGAUGUUCUAACGUUGACCCGUGAUCCGGGUUGCGGACAGUGUCUGGUGGGUAGUUUGACUGGGGCGGUCUCCUCCUAAAGAGUAACGGAGGAGCACGAAGGUUGGCUAAUCCUGGUCGGACAUCAGGAGGUUAGUGCAAUGGCAUAAGCCAGCUUGACUGCGAGCGUGACGGCGCGAGCAGGUGCGAAAGCAGGUCAUAGUGAUCCGGUGGUUCUGAAUGGAAGGGCCAUCGCUCAACGGAUAAAAGGUACUCCGGGGAUAACAGGCUGAUACCGCCCAAGAGUUCAUAUCGACGGCGGUGUUUGGCACCUCGAUGUCGGCUCAUCACAUCCUGGGGCUGAAGUAGGUCCCAAGGGUAUGGCUGUUCGCCAUUUAAAGUGGUACGCGAGCUGGGUUUAGAACGUCGUGAGACAGUUCGGUCCCUAUCUGCCGUGGGCGCUGGAGAACUGAGGGGGGCUGCUCCUAGUACGAGAGGACCGGAGUGGACGCAUCACUGGUGUUCGGGUUGUCAUGCCAAUGGCACUGCCCGGUAGCUAAAUGCGGAAGAGAUAAGUGCUGAAAGCAUCUAAGCACGAAACUUGCCCCGAGAUGAGUUCUCCCUGACUCCUUGAGAGUCCUGAAGGAACGUUGAAGACGACGACGUUGAUAGGCCGGGUGUGUAAGCGCAGCGAUGCGUUGAGCUAACCGGUACUAAUGAACCGUGAGGCUUAACCUUACAACGCCGAAG
rnacentral:rRNA from 1 species